CAGCAGCCGCGGUAAUACGUAGGGUGCAAGCGUUGUCCGGAAUUAUUGGGCGUAAAGAGCUCGUAGGCGGUUUGUCGCGUCUGCUGUGAAAACGCGAGGCUCAACCUCGCGCCUGCAGUGGGUACGGGCAGACUAGAGUGUGGUAGGGGAGAUUGGAAUUCCUGGUGUAGCGGUGGAAUGCGCAGAUAUCAGGAGGAACACCGAUGGCGAAGGCAGAUCUCUGGGCCAUUACUGACGCUGAGGAGCGAAAGCGUGGGGAGCGAACAGGAUUAGAUACCCGCGUAGUCCCUGUCUCUUAUAC
rnacentral:rRNA from 1 species